CGGAAACCCGGGGCUGGGAGGGGCCGGGACCAGCGACGCUCACCACGGCAAGGCCCGGGUAGGAGGGACCCGCUCGGCCUCGCAGGAUGUCCCAGCCGCCCUCCAUCACCCUCCUCGUCCCCGAGGGCACCGAGAGCGAUGGCCAGGAGCCCAGUCCGGACAACGAGAGAGCCCUGCACACCUCAUUCCACCAGCUCAUCCUGGAGCAGAGCAGCUUGAUCGAGGCAGGUCUGGAGCUGGAGGUGCAGGAGAGGGCCAGAGAGUCCCCAGCCUGCUUGGCUACUCCAGAAGCCUGUGCCAUGGCCUGGCCAGAGCCCGGGCAAGGUGAGGAGCACCCCAGCUACUCCUCUCCCUCCCUGCAGAUCUUGGCCAGCAUGCCCAGCCGCACCAUCGGACGCAACCUCGGGGCCAUCAUCUCCCAGUACUGCAACCGCACGGCGCGGCUGCGGCGGCGCAGCGGCCGCCCGCCCCUGCAGCAGCUCUGCCGCGCGGCACGGCCCAGCCUGCGCCACUACGACCUGGACACCGACCCCAGCAGGCCCACGCUGGAAGAGAAGCGGCGCCUGCUGGUGAAGGAGCUGCUGAGCCUCUCACCCAGCCAGUGCAGCCACAUGCUGCUCACCAUGCCCCUCAGCCUGGCAGAGAAACGCAUCCUCCGGCGGCAGCUGAGCGGGCAGAGGGGCCCAGUGAGGCAGCGCGCCCAUCACUGGGCCCCCUUCUCCCCCUGUGGUUGGUCCAAGGUCUUCGUCAGUCUCGGCUGCCGAGGUCUCUGGUACAGGCUCCUCUCCCUGCUCCGCGCUGCGCAGCCCGGGCACUAUGCCCUGAAGCAGAUUGGUGGCCGCUUUGGCUCCAGUGUCCUGUCCUACUUCCUCUUCCUCAAGACACUCCUUAUGUUGAACUUCUUUUCAUUCUUCAUCCUCUUGGCCUUCGUGGUGGUCGUGCAGGCCGUGUACCCCACUGCAUCAGUCAGCCCCCAAGCCUUCACUGGCCUCGAGCUCCUCACAGGAGCGGGCUACUUCACGCACUCGCUGCUGUACUACGGCUACUACAGCAAUGUCACCCUGAACGACCCCUGCACCUCCAGUCCUGAGGGCAGCGUGUGCCCCCUCCCAGGCCCCCUGCUCCCGUACAACCUGCCACUGGCCUACCUCUUCAGUGUUGGGGUCUCCUUCCUUGUCACCUGCAUCCUCCUGGUGUACAGUGUGUCCCGCUCUUUUCGGGAGAGCGUGGGAAGCUCCACAGGGGACUUGGCCAUCAAGGUCUUCUGCGCCUGGGACUUCAAGGUGAUCCAGAGGCGCUCGGUGAAGCUGCAGUGCGAGAACAUCUGCACCCAGUUGAAGGAGCUGCUGGGGGAGCAGCGCUCCCGUUCCCACGCCCAGAGCCGCUGCCAGUGCCUGGGGCACUGCCUCGUGGUGCUGCUGGCCUGGCUGCUGGCCCUGGGCUCGGUGUUGGGCUGCGUGCUGGCUGUGCACUACUUCUCGGAGCACAUGCACGUGGUUCAGCAGGAGCAACGAGCACAGGGCAGUGGCAGAUGGCAGCAAGAAGCCAUUCUGCUGGUCCUGCCCUUUGUGGUGUCCCUCCUCAAUGCCUUGAUGCCCCACCUGUUCAACUUGCUGGCGAUGUGGGAGAGGCAGGACUCCCCAGUGACACAGGUCUACGUAGCAAUCAUCAGGAACCUCAUCCUGAAGAUGGUGACUCUCAGCCUGCUGUGCUACCACUGGCUCAGCCGCAGCGGUAUCUGCUCGACAGAGGAGUGCUGGGAGACGUGUGUGGGGCAGGACCUGUAUCGCUUUGUGGUGAUGGAUUUCAUAUUCACCUUGCUGGAUACGCUCUUCGGGGAGCUGAUCUGGAGGCUAAUUCUGGAGAAGAGGCUGAAGAUAAAGCGGAGGCCGGAGUUUGAUAUUGCCCGAAAUGUGCUGGAGCUGAUCUAUGGGCAGACCCUGACCUGGCUGGGCAUUCUUUUCGCUCCGCUCCUGCCAGCUGUGCAGAUGCUGAAGCUGCUGCUGUUGUUCUACAUCAAAAAGACCAGCCUGAUGCGGAACUGCCAGUCCCCCAGCAAGCCCUGGCAAGCAUCACACAUGAGCACUGUGUUCAUCACUCUGCUGUGCUUCCCCUCCUUCCUGGGUGCAGCUGCCUUCCUCUCCUACACCAUCUGGUCGGUGCAGCCAUCAGAAACCUGCGGUCCCUUCCGGGGGCUGGAAACCAUCUACGAGUCAGGGAAGAGGUGGGUGCUGGUGCUGGAGAAGUCCAAUCCCAACAUCACCUGGUUUGCCUGGGUCUACCAGCACCUGUUGGAGAACACAUCCCUUCUAUUCUUCAUGUCUGUGGCCCUGAUUGCCAGGAGCACAGAGUCCCUCAGCUUCCUGCCUGGCUGCCACCAUUCCACCCUGCUGUUGUUGCAGAGCUGUGAUCUACUUCAACAUCCAGGUGGUAAGAGGCCGCCAGAGGGUCAUCUGCCUGCUCCAGGAGCAAAUUGCCAACGAAGGGGAAGAUAAGGUGUUUCUCAUUCAGAAGCUUCACUCCGUUUAUGAGCAGAGACACAGGCGUUCCUGAGCCCCAGCUCCACAGGAAGGAAUGGGAUGGAAUGCACUCUGCUUGCAGCUGGGAUUGAAUCUGUCCAUCACAACACAGCACUGGAAGCUGAGGGACCAUGGAGUGCUGGAAGAUCCGCCUCUUGGCAUGGCCAAGGACAUGUCAUUGGGAAUGC